GUAAGCAACCCACUGCUUAAAGCAGUGGGCUUCAGCUAAACCCAGUUUAGUUGAAGCCAAGUUUACCAGACUAUCAGCCUUAAACAAGCUGGGUUUACAUUAAGUGUUAAAGUACUCACCUUGGGAUGCGUAGCUAGUUCCAAGCUCUGAAACCAGGUAAUUAAACAGACAUAAUGGUUGUGCGAUUCGUUGGCAGCAGAAUCACGGUAUCAGUCCGUACACAAGCUGCCCAAGGUGAAAUCCU
rnacentral:sRNA from 1 species